UACGAGGGGUGCAAGCGUUGUUCGGAAUCACUGGGCGUAAAGGGAGCGCAGGCGGAGGUGCAAGCAAUCUGUACAAUCCCGGGGCCCAACCCCGGUCCUGCAGAUUGGACUGCAUUUCUUGGAUAGUUCAGGGGCAAGCGGAAUUCCUGGUGUAGCGGUGGAAUGCGUAGAGAUCAGGAAGAACACCGAUGGCGAAGGCAGCUUGCUGGGGACUUAUCGACGCUCAGGCUCGAAAGCGCGGGUAGCAAAC
rnacentral:rRNA from 1 species